UAAUUUUUCCACAGUGAAUAUAUUAUAUUCAUAAUUAAGAAUUUUAAAUAAAAUUAUAGAAACCUGCCUGAACCCAUCAAUCAAGCAGACCAUCACUGCCUAUUAAUGUGAUGCAAUAGGAAGAUUACAGCACAGCCAAUGGAGUGUGUUUGCCAAAAUAAUUGUAAAUAGGAAUGGACUGUGAGCUCUCAGGAGCCCACUCUCACCCAUCUGUUGCUCAGGAUUGAUCUGCAGUCAAAGGCUGGAAGAAUUGAGUCCACAAUGAAUAAUGUCUACAAUCCAAUGCAGGAUGGAGGCAAAGGCAACUCGAUUCCAGGACAGUAAUUACUCACAGGACAUCUGUGUAGCAACAUGCCUACAGUACAACCAGUCUGAGUGGAAAGACUAAAGCAUGACAAGGGGGAUAUUGCCAAGAAAAACAUGAAACUUGGUAAGUUAUCUGAUAAGUCUGUAGAUACAAAAGGCAAUUCUACUGCUGUCAGAGAGUCUGAGGAUGAAUUAGCAAUACACAGAAAAUUAAGCAAUCUUCCCUCUUGACCCAAGAAGCCAAUUACCAAAUUCAGAGAAAAUAAAAAAGGUUUUGUGCAAGAAAGGAAGUAAAUAAAUUUCACAUCAAUUAUAAUGAAAGCACAGACUAUCAAUUUAACCAGAAAUUACUAUAACUAAACCAGGAGAACAGAUUAUAUAUGUACUAUGUAAACAUACAGAAAAGGCUAACUAUUCACUUUCCAUACUAGGAAGCUGGUAGGUAGUAUCUAAAAUUGCAAAAAAAACAAAAAACACAAAUGAAAAGAAAAACCAUAAAGCAGCAGUAUAAACAAGUAUUUAGGGCACGGGAUCUCCAAAUGUGCUCUAGGGACACCCUUUCGGGAGACACACAGUGUCAAAACUAUUUUCAUAAUAAAAAUAAGACACUUUUCCCCCCAUUCUCUUUCUCUGGGCAGUGUACAGUGGAGUUUUCCAGACGCUAAAUGAAUGAUAUAGCACAACAGGCUGACUGCAGAAACUGAUAUGAGAAUCCAGCUGUCUUCUAUUAAGCUAUUCAGUUAAAAGUACUGCAAAAAUGUAAAAACAGUGUUCCUCUUACUCUUCUUAAAAUGUCUUGGUUAUUUGGAAAUAUUUAUUAUUUAUAAAAAUGUUACUUAUGUUGACAUGUUAUAGGUUUAUUAUUAUUUUAAAUUAGUAAAUAUUGUUGGAAUGUGUAAUAUAGUAAAUAGCAGUAGAUAGAACACACAUAAAUCAAAAACUCUUUGGGAUCCUCAACAAUUUUUAAGAGUACAAAGGGGUCCUGAGACCAAAAAGACUGACAACCACUAAUUUAGAGAGCUAAGAUUACCAUACCAUGGAUGGUUGGGCAGGCUGUUAUGAGUACAAGGAUGCCAGGCCAAGGGGGUCACUGGGACUAGAAUCCCAUCUAUGCUCAUGCUCUGCUCAUCAAAACCACAGAGGGUACAUUUUUCUAAUUUGCAGAAAGGUCUAGUGGCCACCUUGGCAAUAAAAGACCAGAAGAAGCUAAGGAGUGAACACAAUUGCCUCAAAUGAAUCUACAGGGAUAGAAAUUAGAAUAGUGGUUGCCGCUGAGGGGAGAGGACAGACUAAAAGGACAUGAAUACUUUCUGAGUCGAUGGUAAUGUUCUGUCUUGACUGGGUUAGUUCAGAUGCAUACAUUUAAAAUUAUAUAACUGUACAUCCAAAAGCUGUGCCUUUCACUGUACAUAAUUACAGCGCAAUUUUUAAAAAGUGGGUUCCUUGGAGAUAGGGCAGGACUAGUACUUGCAUUUUAAAACUAAAUAUUACUUUGGUUAAACCCAAAAUUGAAUUUACAAAAUUCUAUCAACAUCUAUUAUGUAAUGAGAAAUGUAUUUUUAUACAAAAAUGGACAUAGCUACUGAAUGCUAAGGAUUUGUAUGCUGCAGGAACGAAUCCUCCCCAGAAUACCUUAGGGGAGGAGGUGUGCUUCAUCAAUGAUAUUGUUAUGUAACUGACAUGCGAAGUAGGGAUAAGCAACAACAGUAACACAGGAAGUAAUAUUCCAAAAUAAGAAUGCUGAAGGGGGAAAGGGAGCACUUUAUAAUAGAUGGGGAUAAGGGGAAAUCAUUAACAUUUAAUGAGUUUCUAUGUACUAGGGGCUCUUAAUUCCAUCACAAGAACACUAUAAGGUUGGCACAACCAUUUUACAAAUGAGGAUAACAGGCUUGGGAGGUUUCCUGACUUGUCCAAGUUAUUGUCAGAUCCAGGUAACAAUAUUAACCUUUGCCAGUAGGAUCUAAUACCAUCUGAAAAUAGCAUUAGGUUUGAGGUAUUAGUCCAUCAAAAACAAUACAAAAUUAGUAACUGCUUUUGGUGCAGCCACUAUGGAAAACAGUGUGGAGAUUCCUCAAAAGACUAGGAAUAGACUUACCAUAUGACCCAGGAAUCCCACUCCUGGGCUUGUAUCCAGAAGGAAAUCUACUUCAGGAUGACACCUGCACCCCAAUGUUUAUAGCAGCACUAUUUACAAUAGCCAAAACAUGGAAACAGCCUAAAUGUCCAUCAACAGGUGACUGAAUAAAGAAGAUGUGGUAUAUUUAUACAAUGGAAUACUACUCAGCCAUAAAAACCGACAACAUAAUGCCAUUUGCAGCAACAUGGAUGCUCCUGGAGAAUGUCAUUCUAAGUGAAGUAAGCCAGAAAGAGAAAGAAAAGUACCAUAUGAGAUCGCUCAUAUGUGGAAUCUAAAAAACAAAAACAAACAAACAAACAAAAACAAAGCGUAAAUACAGGACAGAAAUAGACUCACAGACAGAGAAUACAGACUUGUGGUUACAGGGGGGUGGAGGGUGGGAAGGGAUAGACUGGGAUUUCAAAAUUGUAGAAUAGAUAAACAAGAUUACACUGUAUAGCACAGGGAAAUAUACACAAAAUGUUAUGAUAACUCACAGAGAAAAAAAUGUGACAAUGAGUGUGUAUAUGUCGAUGAAUGACUGAAAAAUUGUGCUGAACACUGGAAUUUGACACAACAUUGUAAAAUGAUUAUAAAUCAAUAAAAAAUGU